rnacentral:rRNA from 1 species
UACGGGGGGGGCAAGCGUUGUUCGGAAUUACUGGGCGUAAAGGGCUUGUAGGUGGCCAACUAAGUCAGACGUGAAAUCCCUCGGCUUAACCGGGGAACUGCGUCUGAUACUGGAUGGCUGGAGUGUGGGAGAGGGAUGCGGAAUUCCAGGUGUAGCGGUGAAAUGCGUAGAUAUCUGGAGGAACACCGGUGGCGAAGGCGGCAUCCUGGACCGAUACUGACGCUGAGGAGCGAAAGCCAGGGGAGCAAACGGG